rnacentral:lncRNA from 1 species
GCCCUGCAGCCCCUUUCCCAGCUGCAGACUACAAAGAAAGGCUCAGAUGUUCACAUGCCUUUUGAACCUAUCAGCGGGGCCAUGGCAGAGAAGUUCAAUGGAGACAGUGAGCCCUUAAGAUGGAGGUGGCUGUGACUGAGUUGAACCAAUGGAGGAGGAUGAGAAGUCAGAAUCUGCUCACUUCUCUCUCCAACUGACCCAUCUUGAGUGGAACUCGAUGAGACCAAAGAACUCAUACCUGAAAAGAGCUGGGAAAAAGGCUGGGAACCAAAAGGAUUCCAGAAAACCUCAGGGCCAUGGGGAGAGGGAAGAGUGAGAGGUUCCACAAGGAGUAGCUUUUCCUGCACAGCUGUGGGGGAGAAGACCCUGGGCUUCUGAGAGCCACGAGGAAGGCUUGGAUGGAGGCUGCAGGAGCAGGUGGCCAGAGGAGACUGGACGCCAUCCCCACUUCCCACCCCCGUGGACCCUCAGUUAGAGAACACCACUAGAAUGUGAAGCGAAGAACUGCACCGUCCCUCUCACUGUACCUGUGGUUGUGCCAGGCCAGUGACCUGCAGGAUUGCUUCGCAGAAGACCGAGAAAGGGAACAGCAGCCCCGGCAAGAGGAGAGCAGAUCUUGGUGUUCUCCCAUUGACCAUAAACCAUGUCGCAGAAUGCCAGCUUUAGACAAGGCCACUCUAUGACUGUGAUGAAUCAGGGCAAAAACAAGACCCCUCCUGCAUGAGAUAGGAAAAACAAAACCCUAAACUGACAGUUUUCUUCUACUAUCCUCUCAAGACAGCACACCACACCGCUGAUUCCUGCUGUGUGGGAGUUUCCCCAUACACCAAGCAAUUCUCCAUCAGACACCUACAGAGCGUUCUGCAACUGAGCUCCAUUCUGACAUCAUCUACUGGGAGAUAGCAUCAGACUGUACAAGUGAAGGGCUCAGUCCCACAAGACUGCCCCUGCUUCAGAUACCAAUUGCAAAAAGUAGGUUACCCCAACUUCUGUCUGACUUGACUCAUUGGAGGUUCCCACGAUACCUCCUCAGUUUCGAUUAAUUUGUUACAGCAGCUCACAGAAUUCAGGAACACUUACAUUUACCAAGGAAAUCAAUGAUAUGAUAAAGGAUAAAGGUGAACAGCCAGGUGAAGGCGUACACAGGGUGAGGUCUGGAAGGCUCCUGAGCAUGGGCUUCCAUCCCUGGGGAGCUGAGACAUGUUGCCCUCCCAGCAAAUAGAUGUUUUCUGCCAGCCUGGAAGCUCUCCAAACCCUGUCUUUUAGGGAUAUCUAUGGAGGCUUCAUCACAUAGGCAUGAUGGAUCAUUAACUCAAUCUCUAGCCCCUCUCCCUUCCCCAGAAGAUCAGGGGUGGGGCUGAAAGUGCUAGGCUUCUAAUCAUGACUUGGUCUUUCUGGGGACAGACCUUAUACAGGGCCCCAUGGAGAGCUGCUGCAUUGGAACGAAAGAUGUUCCUAGGACCCAGGAAAUUCUAAGGUAUUAGGAGCUCUGUGUCAGGAACUGGAAUAAAGACAGAAUAUUAGAACAAAAGAUGCUCCUAGCACCCCAUUGCUUAGGAAACUCCAACGGUUUUAGGAGCUCUGUGUCAGGAACUGGGGCCAGGGACCAAUAUAUACAUAUAUCUUAUUUCACACUCUGUAAUCAUGUCUGAACUCAAAAACAAGAGCAUUGUCCAAGUCACAAAAAUAUCAAACAUCCCUAUAUCCUGGCUAACAUGAGUGACAGCUGCUUCUUUACCGAUUGGACAUUUAGCCUCACUUCCUUCCACCUUUCAG